GUCGAACGGGAAUUACUUUAUUGAAACUUCGGUCGAUAUGAUUGAAUUCUAGUGGCGGACGGGUGAGUAACGCGUGGGUAACCUGCCUUAUACAGGGGGAUAACAGUCAGAAAUGACUGCUAAUACCGCAUAAGCGCACAGAGCUGCAUGGCUCGGUGUGAAAAACUCCGGUGGUAUAAGAUGGACCCGCGUUGGAUUAGCUAGUUGGUGAGGUAACGGCCCACCAAGGCGACGAUCCAUAGCCGGCCUGAGAGGGUGAACGGCCACAUUGGGACUGAGACACGGCCCAGACUCCUACGGGAGGCAGCAGUGGGGAAUAUUGCACAAUGGGGGAAACCCUGAUGCAGCGACGCCGCGUGAAGGAAGAAGUAUCUCGGUAUGUAAACUUCUAUCAGCAGGGAAGAAAAUGACGGUACCUGACUAAGAAGCCCCGGCUAACUACGUGCCAGCAGCCGCGGUAAUACGUAGGGGGCAAGCGUUAUCCGGAUUUACUGGGUGUAAAGGGAGCGUAGACGGAUGGACAAGUCUGAUGUGAAAGGCUG
rnacentral:rRNA from 1 species